CAGCCGCCGCGGGAAUACGAAGGGUGCAAGCGUUAAUCGGAAUUACUGGGCGUAAAGCGUGCGCAGGCGGUUAUAUAAGACAGAUGUGAAAUCCCCGGGCUCAACCUGGGAACUGCAUUUGUGACUGUAUAGCUAGAGUACGGCAGAGGGGGAUGGAAUUCCGCGUGUAGCAGUGAAAUGCGUAGAUAUGCGGAGGAACACCGAUGGCGAAGGCAAUCCCCUGGGCCUGUACUGACGCUCAUGCACGAAAGCGUGGGGAGCAAACAGGAUUAGAUACCCCCGUAGUCCCUGUCUCUUAUAC
rnacentral:rRNA from 1 species